rnacentral:rRNA from 1 species
UUCCGGUUGAUCCUGCCGGAGGCCAUUGCUAUCGGAGUCCGAUUUAGCCAUGCUAGUCGCACGGGUUUAGACCCGUGGCAGAUAGCUCAGUAACACGUGGCCAAACUGCCCUAUGGAUGGAGACAACCUCGGGAAACUGAGGCUAAUCUCCAAUACGGCUCUCAUGCUGGAGUGCAGAGAGCUGGAAACGCUCCGGCGCCAUAGGAUGUGGCUGCGGCCGAUUAGGUAGACGGUGGGGUAACGGCCCACCGUGCCGAUAAUCGGUACGGGUUGUGAGAGCAAGAGCCCGGAGACGGAAUCUGAGACAAGAUUCCGGGCCCUACGGGGCGCAGCAGGCGCGAAACCUUUACACUGCACGACAGUGCGAUAGGGGGACUCCGAGUGCGAGGGCAUACAGUCCUCGCUUUUCUGUACCGUAAGGUGGUACAGGAACAAGUGCUGGGCAAGACCGGUGCCAGCCGCCGCGGUAAUACCGGCAGCACGAGUGAUGGCCGCUAUUAUUGGGCCUAAAGCGUCCGUAGCCGGCCGAGCAAGUUCGUCGGGAAAUCUGCCCGCUUAACGGGCAGGCGUCCGGCGAAAACUGUUCGGCUUGGGGCCGGGAGAUCCAAGGGGUACGUCCGGGGUAGGAGUGAAAUCCCGUAAUCCUGGACGGACCACCGAUGGCGAAAGCACCUUGGAAAAACGGACCCGACGGUGAGGGACGAAAGCUAGGGUCUCGAACCGGAUUAGAUACCCGGGUAGUCCUAGCUGUAAACGAUGCUCGCUAGGUGUGGCGCAGGCUACGAGCCUGCGCUGUGCCGUAGGGAAGCCGAGAAGCGAGCCGCCUGGGAAGUACGUCUGCAAGGAUGAAACUUAAAGGAAUUGGCGGGGGAGCACUACAACCGGAGGAGCCUGCGGUUUAAUUGGAUUCAACGCCGGA